AUCGCUUCUUGGCCUUUUGGCUAAGAUCAAGUGUAGUAUCUGUUUUAAAACUUUCUUUCCUCACUAACCUUUU
ensembl:snRNA U2 U2 spliceosomal RNA